GCGAUGCCGCGUGAGUGAAGAAGGCCUUUGGGUUGUAAAGCUCUUUCGUCGGGGAAGAAAAUGACUGUACCCGAAUAAGAAGGUCCGGCUAACUUCGUGCCAGCAGCCGCGGUAAUACGAAGGGACCUAGCGUAGUUCGGAAUUACUGGGCUUAAAGAGUUCGUAGGUGGUUAAAAAAGUUGGUGGUGAAAUCCCAGAGCUUAACUCUGGAACUGCCAUCAAAACUUUUUAGCUAGAGUAUGAUAGAGGAAAGCGGAAUUUCUAGUGUAGAGGUGAAAUUCGUAGAUAUUAGAAAGAAUACCAAUUGCGAAGGCAGCUUUCUGGAUCAUUACUGACACUGAGGAACGAAAGCAUGGGUAGCGAAGAGGAUUAGAUACCCUCGUAGUCCAUGCCGUAAACGAUGUGUGUUAGACGUUGGAAA
rnacentral:rRNA from 1 species